CGGAGCAACGCCGCGUGAGUGAUGAAGGCUUUCGGGUCGUAAAACUCUGUUGUUAGGGAAGAACAAGUGCUAGUUGAAUAAGCUGGCACCUUGACGGUACCUAACCAGAAAGCCACGGCUAACUACGUGCCAGCAGCCGCGGUAAUACGUAGGUGGCAAGCGUUAUCCGGAAUUAUUGGGCGUAAAGCGCGCGCAGGUGGUUUCUUAAGUCUGAUGUGAAAGCCCACGGCUCAACCGUGGAGGGUCAUUGGAAACUGGGAGACUUGAGUGCAGAAGAGGAAAGUGGAAUUCCAUGUGUAGCGGUGAAAUGCGUAGAGAUAUGGAGGAACACCAGUGGCGAAGGCGACUUUCUGGUCUGUAACUGACACUGAGGCGCGAAAGCGUGGGGAGCAAACAGGAUUAGAUACCCUGGUAGUCCACGCCGUAAACGAUGAGUGCUAAGUGUUAGAGGGUUUCCGCCCUUUAGUGCUGAAGUUAACGCAUUAAGCACUCCGCCUGGGGAGUACGGCCGCAAGGCUGA
rnacentral:rRNA from 1 species